AUACGUAGGGUGCGGGCGUUGUCCGGAAUUACUGGGCGUAAAGAGCUCGUAGGUGGUUUGUCGCGUCGUCUGUGAAAUUCCGGGGCUUAACUCCGGGCGUGCAGGCGAUACGGGCAUAACUUGAGUACUGUAGGGGAGACUGGAAUUCCUGGUGUAGCGGUGAAAUGCGCAGAUAUCAGGAGGAACACCGGUGGCGAAGGCGGGUCUCUGGGCAGUAACUGACGCUGAGGAGCGAAAGCAUGGGUAGCGAACAGGAUUAGAUACCCUGGUAGUCCAUGCCGUAAACGGUGGGCGCUAGGUGUAGGGGUCUUCCACGACUUCUGUGCCGUAGCUAACGCAUUAAGCGCCCCGCCUGGGGAGUACGGCCGCAAGGCUAAAACUCAAAGGAAUUGACGGGG
rnacentral:rRNA from 1 species